CGAAGGUGGCAAGCGUUGUUCGGAUUUACUGGGCGUACAGGGAGCGUAGGCGGUUGGAUAAGCCCUCCGUGAAAUCUCCAGGCUUAACCUGGAAAGUGCAGAGGGGACUGUUCAGCUAGAGGAUGGGAGAGGAGCGCGGAAUUCCCGGUGUAGCGGUGAAAUGCGUAGAGAUCGGGAGGAAGGCCGGUGGCGAAGGCGGCGCUCUGGAACAUUUCUGACGCUGAGGCUCGAAAGCGUGGGGAGCAAACAGGAUUAGAUACCCUGGUAGUCCACGCCUUAAACGAUGGAUACUAAGUGUCGGCGGGUUACCGCCGGUGCCGCAGCUAACGCAGUAAGUAUCCCGCCUGGGAAGUACGGCCGCAAGGUCG
rnacentral:rRNA from 1 species